GACGCAACGCGAAGAACCUUACCCAGGCUCGAACGGUGGUGGACAUCCGGCGAAAGCCGGCUCCCGCAAGGGCCGCCAUCGAGGUGCUGCAUGGCUGUCGUCAGCUCGUGUCGUGAGAUGUUGGGUUAAGUCCCGCAACGAGCGCAACCCUUGUCCGCUGUUGCCAUCAGGUUAAGCUGGGCACUCUGCGGAGACUGCCGGUGAUAAACCGGAGGAAGGUGGGGAUGACGUCAAGUCAGCAUGGCCUUUAUGUCUGGGGCUACACACGUGCUACAAUGGCAGAUACAAACCGUCGCGAGACUGCAAGGUGGAGCUAAUCGGAGAAAGUCUGUCUCAGUUCGGAUUGCAGGCUGCAACUCGCCUGCAUGAAGUUGGAAUCGCU
rnacentral:rRNA from 1 species